rnacentral:rRNA from 1 species
AGUUUGAUCCUGGCUCAGGAUGAACGCUGGCGGCGUGCCUAAUACAUGCAAGUCGAACGCUUUGUGGUUCAACUGAUUUGAAGAGCUUGCUCAGAUAUGACGAUGGACAUUGCAAAGAGUGGCGAACGGGUGAGUAACACGUGGGAAACCUACCUCUUAGCAGGGGAUAACAUUUGGAAACAGAUGCUAAUACCGUAUAACAAUGACAACCGCAUGGUUGUUAUUUAAAAGAUGGUUCUGCUAUCACUAAGAGAUGGUCCCGCGGUGCAUUAGCUAGUUGGUAAGGUAAUGGCUUACCAAGGCGAUGAUGCAUAGCCGAGUUGAGAGACUGAUCGGCCACAAUGGGACUGAGACACGGCCCAUACUCCUACGGGAGGCAGCAGUAGGGAAUCUUCCACAAUGGGCGAAAGCCUGAUGGAGCAACGCCGCGUGUGUGAUGAAGGGUUUCGGCUCGUAAAACACUGUUGUAAGAGAAGAAUGACAUUGAGAGUAACUGUUCAAUGUGUGACAGUAUCUUACCAGAAAGGAACGGCUAAAUACGUGCCAGCAGCCGCGGUAA